rnacentral:rRNA from 1 species
GACGAACGCUGGCGGCGUGCCUAAUACAUGCAAGUCGAACGCAGUGGGGACGGGUGAGUAACACGUGGGUAACCUCCCAUCAGAGGGGAUAACCCUUGGAAACAGGUGCUAAACCGAUACUGAUGGAUGAACCCGCGGUGCAUUAGCUAGUUGGGGGGGUAACGGCUCACCAAGGCCACGAUGCAUAGCCGACCUGAGAGGGUGAGCGGCCAAACUGGGACGUAGACACGGCCCAGACUCCUACGGGAGGCAGGAGUAGGGAAUCUUCGGCAAUGGGCGAAAGUCUGACCGAGCAACGCCGCGUGAUUGAAGAAGGUUUUCGGAGCGGAAAACUCUUUUGUUAGGGAAGCGGUAUCUAACCAGAAAGCCACGGCUAACUACGUGCCAGCAGCCGCGGUAAUAC